AGCGAACGCUGGCGGCAGGCCUAACACAUGCAAGUCGAGCGCCCGUAGCAAUACGGGAGCGGCAGACGGGUGAGUAACACGUGGGAACGUACCCUUCGGUUCGGAAUAACCCAGGGAAACUUGGAUUCAUACCGGAUACGUCCGUAAGGAGAAAGAUUUAUCGCCGAAGGAUCGGCCCGCGUCCGAUUAGCUUGUUGGUGGGGUAAUGGCCCACCAAGGCUACGAUCGGUAGCUGGUCUGAGAGGAUGAUCAGCCACACUGGGACUGAGACACGGCCCAGACUCCUACGGGAGGCAGCAGUGGGGAAUAUUGGACAAUGGGCGCAAGCCUGAUCCAGCCAUGCCGCGUGGGUGAUGAAGGCCCUAGGGUUGUAAAGCCCUCUCGGCGGGGAAGAUAAUGACGGUACCCGCAGAAGAAGCCCCGGCUAACUUCGUGCCAGCCGCCGCCGUAAAAC
rnacentral:rRNA from 1 species